rnacentral:lncRNA from 1 species
ACCCGGGGACAAUCAGGGGAGUGGCUCUGCGGACUGCGGCUCCUCGUGGGUGCCAUUCCGCCCUCCUGGUCAGAGUCUCCUCCGCCUUCGUCUCUGCCUGACCCAUUGGCCUGACCCAUGUGGCCGAACAGAGCUCGGAGCCUAAGUACGUGAGAUGCGCAGGAAAGUCGGACCUCAGGACGGCGAGCAGUGUGACAGGAGCCAGCACUGGUGGUUUCACAGGAUGGGAACGGUGAGGCACCGCCUCAGCCACUUGUCAGGCUUGGGCACGGCUUUCCCUUCCCCGCGCAGGAGAUGCUUGUGGAUGUUAUGGUGUGGAUGCAGGAAAUGAAGGGGAAAGGUCCAGGACCACAGCAGAGCAAAGUCUCAGUGGCAGGUGGCGCUGGGAACGGUGCUGCGGACAUGGCUAAGAAGAGCCCUUCCUGAGAAUGAUAGUGACAGGCUCACUGCAAGCAGCUGACUGCAUCUGAUUCAGUGGUUCCUGAGUAUACACAAAAGCACCUGAGAGAGGCGGAUCCCCCAGAGAAGCAGGGACCCUCGGGGUGGAGUUUAUGUCAAUAAAACUACUAUGAAUCCA